rnacentral:rRNA from 1 species
AAUAAGACAGGGUGAGUUUAAAUGGCUAGUUGGAGGUGAGCGGGCGUGCUAUCGAUCGAAGCUACGAGAGUUGGAUCACGAUAUUAAGCUACUCUGAUACCGCUACUUUCACCCUGGUUUGAUCAUGCUUAUACGAAUGAAAUGAAAUACGAUGAAUAUGAUGAUCCACGAGCCUCAGUUUAUAUUCUUUCUCUCAAUAUCCUGUGUAGCUCUCAGCGUUCCCAAACUUAACCGGUUUCAACGGCUAUCCUUGUAUGUAAGACGGAUAAGAUCCAUUGCUGCUGGACUCCGUGAUUCUGGUUCCUCACUUUGGAACGGCUUGACUUGGUACUCCUGGGGUAAGACCCUCUUUUGGAUUGCAACCCUUUUACCCACGCUCUUUGUAUUCAACCACAUUUAUUUAGAAAACACACAGAUCACCAGUCUGUUAACAGGGACACCUGAGCAGCCAUUUUUCUCUGACUCACUGAUUUUGAUGGUGAAUCUGAUUGGUUUCGUAUUCACAAUCUCAAUAUUCCUUAUUCAAAAUACCGUCAGAUCAUAUACCCCCAAUUUGGCAAAAGAAAUCUUCCGAGACGGAUAUUUACGUGGGAUAUUUGUCUCUCUUCUUGGGAUUGCCGUGUUCAAUUUAUCUAGCCUGUAUUUCCAGGUCGGUGGUGUCUAUCAACCACUCAGCUUCAUCUUCGCUUUGUCCUCUUUUCUCUAUCUGGUUGCGUUGGCGUUGAUAACCGCCUACUAUCUCAACAUCUCAAAUACAAUCAGUAGAUCUGAGGAGCGGAUUAAAUCGAAGAUAACAGAGGAUAAUAUCUAUCGUUCGCAAAGCAUUGCUCCCGUAAAGAAUGAUGAAUUUCUCGAAGAACUCUCAAAUGAGACUCUGUUGAUUACGAAUACUGGUCUUAUGGCAAUCGAUAAUAAUGACCAUGAACUUGUCGUGAAGUGUAUCCAAUCAUUAGAAAGCAUCGGCGUAGAGUAUCUUGAGAAACUGCAAUCACCGGUCGAUGACGACUUCAUGAGGGAACUUAAUGAUCAGUUUGAAUUCCUUAUCCAAAGUGCGAGUGAAGAGUACAGUUGACGUGAGGAGACCGGUGCGCGGGGUAAGCCUGUGUACCGUAAGGGAGACAACCCAGAGCUGGGUUAAGGUCCCCAAGUGUGGACUAAGUGCGAUCGAAAGUGGUGCCGAGCCCUAGACAGCCGGGAGGUGAGCUUAGAAGCAGCUACCCUCUAAGAAAAGCGUAACAGCUUACCGGCCGAGGUUCGGCGCGCUGAAAAUGAUCGGGGCUCAAGUCCACCACCGAGACCGAGCGACACAUCUGACGAUGUGAUUCCGUAGGUUGGCAUACUGUUCGGGUGGAAGCGCGGGAGAGAUCUCGUGUGGACCGUGCAGUAACGAAAAUUCUGGUCAUAGUAGCAGCGUUAGUCGGGUGAGAACCCCGACGGCCGAACGAGUAAGGGUUCCUCAGCAAUGCUGAUCAGCUGAGGGUUAGCCGGUCCUAAGUCUCACCGCAGUUCGAAUGAGACAAAAGGGAAAUAGGUUAAUAUUCCUAUGCCAGUGUGAAUUAGAAGUCGACGCUUUGGAGCCGCCCAGGCCGGGCAUUCGCCCGGUGUAACCAUCGAAGUUCGUGGAAGCCGUAAUGGCAGGAAGCGGACGAAUGGUGGGAUGCCGCAAGCUGGGUCAAUCUGGAGCCCGUGAAAAGACGAUCACACUGUCCGUACCGAGAUCCGACACAGGUACUCGUGGCGGCGAAAGCCAAGGUCUGUCGGGAUCAACCGACGUUAGGGAAUUCGGCAAGUUAGUCCCGUACGUUCGCAAUAAGGGAUGCCUGCCUCGGAGAGAGGCAGGUCGCAGUGACUCGGGCGCUCCGACUGUCUAGUAACAACAUAGGUGACCGCAAAUCCGCAAGGACUCGUACGGUCACUGAAUCCUGCCCAGUGCGGGUAUCUGAACACUCAGUACAAUGAGACGAAGGACCCGUUAACGGCGGGGGUAACUAUGACCCUCUUAAGGUAGCGUAGUACCUUGCCGCUUUAGUAGCGGCUUGCAUGAAUGGAUCAACGAGAGCGCCACUGUCCCAACGUUGGGCCCGGUGAACUGUACAUUCCAGUGCGGAGUCUGGAGACCCCCAAGGGGAAGCGAAGACCCUAUAGAGCUUUACUGCAGGCUGUCGCUGAGACGUGGUCGCCAUUGUGCAGCAUAGGUAGGAGCCAUUACACAGGUACCCGCGCUAGCGGGCCACCGAGGCAGCAUUGAAAUACUACCCGAUGGUGACUGCGACUCUCACUCCUGGCGGAGGACACCGGUAGCCGGGCAGUUUGACUGGGGCGGUACGCGCUUGAAAAGAUAUCGAGCGCGCCCCAAGGUUUCCUCACUCGGGUCGGAGACCCGAGUAAGAGUGCAAGAGCAUAAGGAAGCCUGACAGUGUCGAGCACAACAAUCGACGCUGACGCGAAAGCGUGGUCUAGCGAACCAAUUAGCCUGCUUAAUGCGGGCAAUUGCUGACAGAAAAGCUACCUUAGGGAUAACAGAGUCGUCACCCGCAAGAGCACAUAUCGACCGGGUGGCUUGCUACCUCGAUGUCGGUUCCCUCCAUCCUGCCCGUGCAGAAGCGGGCAAGGGUGAGGUUGUUCGCCUAUUAAAGGAGGUCGUGAGCUGGGUUUAGACCGUCGUGAGACAGGUCGGCUGCUAUCUAUUGGGGGUGUAACGGUAUCUGACGAGAACGUUCGUAUAGUACGAGAGGAACUACGAAUGGGUGCCACUGGUGUACCAGUUGUUCGAGAGAGCACGUGCUGGGCAGCCACGCGCCACGGGGUAAGAGCUGAACGCAUCUAAGCUCGAAACCCACUUGAAAAAGAGAUACCAUCUGAGAUCACUCGUAGAAGACGAGUUCGAUAGACUCGGGGUGUACGCACCAAGGCAACGAGGUGUUGAGCCCGCGAGCACUAACUGAUCGAGCCACCAUU